UAGAAAUUUACAGGUAUCAAAAUCAAAAUUUCAUAUGUUGUCAAUAGUUUCAAUGCCUGCUGACUUCAGAUGAAAAUAAAAAAUACUGAACUGAAGGGUGGCGCAGUAUUCUCCCUGCCCAGAAAUUAUUGACAGCAAAUAAGAAGUUGUUCGCAAGCAACGGUGAAUCCGCCUUAAGUAGAUUGAAAUGAAAUUUGGUGGGUAAUUUUGUCGCAACUUCCUUUGAUCCCAAAAUGGCGAACCUUCGUAAACAAAAAUUAAGAUAUAGAAUUUACAAUUUAGGUUAAUUAAAACAUUCAGUGACCCACAUUCGUAUAAAAGCACUCUUUUUUCUUUAGUUUUACUCUCUCUUUCUCUUUUCUCAAUGCAUUGCUCACAACAAUUUCUAACUGAAAUUGUUUGUCAAACUAACGGAAAUUUAGAUUGCAUGCAAAAUUCAAGUUCUGUUGUUGUUUUUAUACUUAAAUCGUUGCAUUUUCAAUGUCCUACUAAAAAUAAGAACAUACAUAUCCGUUUAAACGCACCCGAAUAAGGAAAUUGAAAUGAAUAGAAAGAUAAUUUUUGUUGGCAUUAAAUUGAUAAUUGGCAAAAUAUCAUAAUGAUUUUGAAAAGAAUCAAAUCAACCUGUACUAUAAGGAGGGCUAUUCAAAUCGAGAUAGAGCACAAUACACCGGGCAUGGAGUGACCAGCAGACAGUCCCGAUUUGAAUCCGGUGGAGAACCUUUGUCGCGCAAAAUUUAUGAACCAAAAACCGUAAGGGCACCUGUAUAAACAAGGCUGUACUAGAGCUCAAAUUGACCAUUAAGGAAGUUUGGGAAAGUUUGGACCGUUCUUUGAUGCAACAUUUUGUGAAAUCAAUGGCAAAAUGUAUUUUUGAAUUUAUUAGUAAAACUGAAUAACCAAUUAAUUAUUAAAUGUUUUGUAAAUAGGUAUGUCCAUACUAAAAAUUAGGUUGCUGCGUUUAUAUGAAUCUGAUCUUAUUUUUAUAAAGGCUAUUUAAAAUGCAGCGAUCAAUCGCACGCCUUAAAUUCCUCCUCACGCACACGCACGCAUUUAUGAUUGCGCAGAGAAACGAACAAACCAAAAACAAAAAACGGCUGCACUUUACAAGGAGCAAUUUGAGCGUUUUGGAGAUUUUCUUCCUUUUUACUGCACGAAUUUUGAACGGCCAAAAAUAUGUGGUUGAUUUUUCAAAAUUACGGAAAACUAAAACGAAAUGUGUGACAAAAGCGAAACGAAAAAACUAAACUAUUGCGAAAUCCACAGCAUAAUAUAAAAUCUACAGGAAAUUUUUGGAAUUGAUGACUGAAAGUGAAAUUAAUUUCUUUUUUGAAAACAAUAAAAAAUCCGACUCAUACGUAAAAAUUUAACAGAAAAUGCGGUACAAAUCACUGAACGAUGUUUCGAGUGGGGAGUGCGACUUGAAAAGUGCGGAUAUGGGAUGGGAUGGAUAUGGCCAUUUACAAGUUAGAAUGGCAGGCAGUGAGAGAUUCCUACAGUUGAUGGAAAAUGUUGGCGGAGGAGAGGCGGAGUUUUGAAAACGUACACAAAUAUGGAAUUAAAAAACAAAAUAAAACCAAAUAGCAGGAAAUGAAAUAGAAUAAGAUAAUAAAAACAAUUUAAAUAAAGGAACGAAGUAGUACUAAAUAAUAAUUAAAUAAUAAAAAUAAAAGAGUUAAAAAUAAAAAAACAAUAGAAAUAAGUAACAUAAAAUAGUAUAAAAUAAAAUAAGGUAAAAAGAUAAUUAAAUAAAAUAAAAUAAUAAAAAAUAAAAUAAAAUAAAUAAAAUAAAAUACAAAUGACAUAGAAAAAAACAAAAAAUAAACGAAUAUAAAAAUAAUAAAUUGUUAUAGGAAAUAAAAUAUAAAUAAAUUAAGCUAUUAUAUAAUAAAAUAGCAAAAAAAUAAAAAAAAUAAAAAGACAACAUAAAAUAAAAGAGAACAAGAUAAAAAUAAAAUAAAAUGCCACAACAUGAUUGGACAUAGAAAAACAAAAAUAAAAAUAAAGAAAACUAGAGUAAAAAGGUAAAGAAAACAUAAUAAAAAAGAUAAAAAAACUUAAAUACAAAAAUUAGGAAAAAUGAAAUAAAAAUAAAGAAAAAUAUGACAGAAAUUAAAAUAUAUCACAACAAAAUAAAUUAUGAUAUAAUAAAUAUAAUUUAUAGAAAAAUAAAAAUAAAAUAGGAAAAAUAUAAAAAAAGGAAACCAAGAAAAAACAACGUGAAAUAUAAUAUGAUAGAAAAUAGAAAAAAAAAACAAAAACAGGAAAUGUACAAUAAUAUGAUAGAAAAAAAAAUUAAAUAAAGAAAAUUAAAAUAAAAAUAAUAAAAUAUAUUAGAAAAUAAAAUAGAAUAGAUAAAAAGAAAUUAAGAUAUAUUUAAAAAAUGGCAAAAAAAAACAAACAAAAAAAAUAGAAAAAAUAAAAAGCGACAUGAAAUAAAAAAAAGUUAAAUAAAAAAUAAAUAAAGAAAACGAAAAUAAAAUAAUAAAAUAUUACAGAAAAUAAAAUAUAAUAGGAAAUAAAAUACAACAAAUUAUGUUAAGAAUUAGCAAAAAAAUGAAAUAAUAGAAAAAAUAAAAAAACAUGAAAUGAAAUAAAAUAAACAAAAAAUUAAAAAUAAAAAUAAAAUAAAAAAAAAAUUUAAUAAAACGACAAAGACAUUUAAUAAAAUGACAUAGAGAAGAAAAAAACAAAAUAAAACUGAAAAUAAAAAAUUUAAAAUAUUAUAGAAAAUUGCACCGAUUGAAAAGAAUGAGAUAAUAAGGAAAAUCUUAGUAAAUAAAUAAAAAAAUAAAGUAUAUUAAUAUAAAAUAAAAUGCCAAAAUAUGAUAUGACAGAGAAAACAAAACAAAAAAUAAAAGUAAGACUAAAGAGAAUAAUAAAAUAUUAUAGACAACGAAAUAUAAGUAAUAAAAAUAAAUUAAAUAAUAAAUUAAUAAAAAUAAAUAGCAUUAAAAAUAGAAAAGAGAAAUAGAGAAAAAAAUUUCUCAAAAUAGAAAGAAGGAAAAUAAAAUGAACAAAAUAAAAUAAAACAUAUUUUUAUAAAAUAUAAAAAAUAAAAGUUGUACAAUAAAAUAAGAAAAAUGCCAAAACAUGAUGAGAGCAAAAAAUAAAUAAAAACAAUAAACUGUUGUAUAAAAUGAAAUACCGAUAAUAAAAUAUAUUCAGAUAUAAAAAAAUAAAAAUCAUUAAAAGUAGAAAAGAGGAAUAGAAAAAAUUAAGUCUAAAAAUAGAAAGAAGGAACAUGAAAUGAAACAAAAUAAGAUAAAAGAAAAAUUAUAUAAAAAAUAAGAAUUAUACAACAAAAUAAAUGCUAAAACAUGAUAUGACAUGAAGAGCAAAAAAUAAAUAAAAACAGUAAACUAAGUAAUUGCGGAUUUUUUUUUAGAAAAUCAAAGACAAUUUUUUUAUAAUAAAUAAAUAACUUUAUUCUGUAAUGAAUUGCCCAUUUAAUCAAUGACCUUUUGCCAUCUUUCAGACAGCAUCAUAAUCCCAGUUCAUAAAACUUCUGGAUUUUAUUGGCAAAAAACUGAAUCAGGAACGAUUUGACAUCAUCAUCAUUAUUGAAAUGCUUACCAUUCAAGGAGUUUUGUAAAGAUCGAAUCAAAAAGUAUUCAGAUGGUGCAAGGUCAGGGCUAUAUGGUGGAUGCAUCAAAAGUUCCCAGCCAAGCUCUCUCAGUUUUGUUUUGAGUCACCAAAGAUGUGUGUGGCGUUGUAUUGUCAUGAUGGAAUGCAAUAAUCUUUCGAAUUGUCAAUUCGGGCCGCUUUUCUUCAACUGCAUUGUUUAAUUUCGUUAGUUGUUCAAUGUAGACAUCAGAAUUGAUCGUUCGGUUGGGUGGUAAGAGUUCAAAGUAGAUAAUUCUUUUGUAAUUCCACCAAACUGAUAACAAAACCUUCUUUUGAUGAAUAUCAGCGUUUGAUGUUGUUUGAGUUGGUUCACCUGGCCUGCUCCACGAUAUUUCCCGCUUUUUCAUAGUCGGUUGCCAGUCGUUUUAAAAAUGGAUAAUUUUCAUCACCUUUCUUUAGCAAAUCGCAGCUGCUAAUGCGUUGCGUUAAAUGCGUUUCUUUCAGUUCGUGAGGAGCCCAUGUAUCGAGUUUUUGAACAUAGGCAAGUUGUUUUAAGUGAUUUUCAAUGCAUGAAGUUUCUUUGCAAUGUCAAGUGUUGUACUGUGACUCGGAUCGUGAUUGCUUCGAUUAUUGAUUUGUUUAGGGCGUCAUCAACUUUAACUGGACGACGAGAGCGUUUUCCAAUAUGACGAAAAUGUUCCUUUUGAUUUUCCAUUUUUCAACGAACGCCAAACGGAAACUACGUAACCGAUCAAAAAACUUCUUUUACUGAUUGGCAGCUGAAUUGCCAACUAUCAAAUAACAAAAUGUGUUUUACAUUUGUACUACGUCUGCAAACCUAAAAAUUCAACUGAAGCCAUCUAUGAGUGAAAUCCACAAUUACUUAGUUCCCAACCCAAUAUUAUAGAAAAUGAAAUAUUAUGUAUUAAAAAAAAAAAAUGUAAGAAAAAUAAAAUAGCAUAAAAAAUAGAAAAAGGAAAUAAUAUACUAUAUGUAGUAUAAAAUAAUAUAUGUAGCAAAAAAAAAAAUCGAAGGAAAAAAUAAAAAAUCAAUAAAGUAAAAUAAUUAAGAAAUGACAUAAAAUAAAAAAUGGGAAAAGUAAAAUAAUAAAUAAAAUAAAUUAAAAUUAAAUAAUGAAUAAAAAAUUCAGGUAAAUAAAUUAGAAUACAAAAUAAAAUUACACAAAUAUAAUGAAUAAUAAAAAGGAAAUACACAGCUGUAAAAAAUAAUAAUAAAAAGCAAAUACACAGCUACAAAAAAUAAUAUAAUAAAUAAUAAAAUAUUUUCGCUACCGAAAAUCCAUGAAUUCCGCAGGCUUAUAGAACAAACAGUAAAAUAAACCAAAAAUCCGUUUUCAUGUUAAUGAGAAUGGGAAUUUAUUUGACCUGAGCCAGCGUUUAUUAAGAAAUUAACUCAAACGAUACCGCAGCAGCAGCAGCAGCAAGGUAAGCACACAAACCAGCUACGACUGUCCUCGACCGAAGAUGCGAAGCUUAAAUUUGAGAAGUAUGCUUUUGGCAAGGCGUGCAUAAAAA